rnacentral:rRNA from 1 species
UGAGUAACACGUAUCCAACCUGCCGUCUACUCUUGGACAGCCUUCUGAAAGGAAGAUUAAUACAAGAUGGCAUCAUGAGUCCGCAUGUUCACAUGAUUAAAGGUGUUCCGGUAGACGAUGGGGAUGCGUUCCAUUAGAUAGUAGGCGGGGUAACGGCCCACCUAGUCUUCGAUGGGUAGGGGUUCUGAGAGGAAGGUCCCCCACAUUGGAACUGAGACACGGUCCAA